rnacentral:rRNA from 1 species
UUAAGCGACUAAGCGUACACGGUGGAUGCCCUGGCAGUCAGAGGCGAUGAAGGACGUGCUAAUCUGCGAAAAGCGUCGGUAAGGUGAUAUGAACCGUUAUAACCGGCGAUGUCCGAAUGGGGAAACCCAGUGUGAUUCGUCACACUAUCGUUAACUGAAUACAUAGGUUAACGAGGCGAACCGGGGGAACUGAAACAUCUAAGUACCCCGAGGAAAAGAAAUCAACCGAGAUUCCCCCAGUAGCGGCGAGCGAACGGGGAGCAGCCCAGAGUCUGAAUCAGCUUGUGUGUUAGUGGAACGGUCUGGAAAGUCCGACGGUACAGGGUGAUAGUCCCGUACACCAAAAUGCACAGGCUGUGAACUCGAAGAGUAGGGCGGGACACGUGGUAUCCUGUCUGAAUAUGGGGGGACCAUCCUCCAAGGCUAAAUACUCCUGACUGACCGAUAGUGAACCAGUACCGUGAGGGAAAGGCGAAAAGAACCCCGGCGAGGGGAGUGAAAAAGAACCUGAAACCGUGUACGUACAAGCAGUGGGAGCACCUUCGGGUGUGACUGCGUACCUUUUGUAUAAUGGGUCAGCGACUUAUAUUCUGUAGCAAGGUUAACCGUAUAGGGGAGCCGCAGGGAAACCGAGUCUUAACUGGGCGUUAAGUUGCAGGGUAUAGACCCGAAACCCGGUGAUCUAGCCAUGGGCAGGUUGAAGGUUGGGUAACACUAACUGGAGGACCGAACCGACUAAUGUUGAAAAAUUAGCGGAUGACUUGUGGCUGGGGGUGAAAGGCCAAUCAAACCGGGAGAUAGCUGGUUCUCCCCGAAAGCUAUUUAGGUAGCGCCUCGUGAACUCAUCUUCGGGGGUAGAGCACUGUUUCGGCUAGGGGGUCAUCCCGACUUACCAACCCGAUGCAAACUACGAAUACCGAAGAAUGUUAUCACGGGAGACACACGGCGGGUGCUAACGUCCGUCGUGAAGAGGGAAACAACCCAGACCGCCAGCUAAGGUCCCAAAGUCAUGGUUAAGUGGGAAACGAUGUGGGAAGGCACAGACAGCCAGGAUGUUGGCUUAGAAGCAGCCAUCAUUUAAAGAAAGCGUAAUAGCUCACUGGUCGAGUCGGCCUGCGCGGAAGAUGUAACGGGGCUAAACCAUGCACCGAAGCUGCGGCAGCGACACUAUGUGUUGUUGGGUAGGGGAGCGUUCUGUAAGCCUGCGAAGGUGACCUGUGAGGGUUGCUGGAGGUAUCAGAAGUGCGAAUGCUGACAUAAGUAACGAUAAAGCGGGUGAAAAGCCCGCUCGCCGGAAGACCAAGGGUUCCUGUCCAACGUUAAUCGGGGCAGGGUGAGUCGACCCCUAAGGCGAGGCCGAAAGGCGUAGUCGAUGGGAAACAGGUUAAUAUUCCUGUACUUGGUGUUACUGCGAAGGGGGGACGGAGAAGGCUAUGUUAGCCGGGCGACGGUUGUCCCGGUUUAAGCAUGUAGGCUGGUUGUCCAGGCAAAUCCGGAUAAUCAAGGCUGAGGUGUGAUGACGAGGCACUACGGUGCUGAAGUAACAAAUGCCCUGCUUCCAGGAAAAGCCUCUAAGCAUCAGGUAACAUUAAAUCGUACCCCAAACCGACACAGGUGGUCAGGUAGAGAAUACCAAGGCGCUUGAGAGAACUCGGGUGAAGGAACUAGGCAAAAUGGUGCCGUAACUUCGGGAGAAGGCACGCUGGUGUGUAGGUGAAGUCCCUGCGGAUGGAGCUGAGACCAGUCGAAGAUACCAGCUGGCUGCAACUGUUUAUUAAAAACACAGCACUGUGCAAACACGAAAGUGGACGUAUACGGUGUGACGCCUGCCCGGUGCCGGAAGGUUAAUUGAUGGGGUUAUCCGUAAGGAGAAGCUCUUGAUCGAAGCCCCGGUAAACGGCGGCCGUAACUAUAACGGUCCUAAGGUAGCGAAAUUCCUUGUCGGGUAAGUUCCGACCUGCACGAAUGGCGUAAUGAUGGCCAGGCUGUCUCCACCCGAGACUCAGUGAAAUUGAACUCGCUGUGAAGAUGCAGUGUACCCGCGGCAAGACGGAAAGACCCCGUGAACCUUUACUAUAGCUUGACACUGAACAUUGAGCCUUGAUGUGUAGGAUAGGUGGGAGGCUUUGAAGCGUGGACGCCAGUCUGCGUGGAGCCAACCUUGAAAUACCACCCUUUAAUGUUUGAUGUUCUAACGUUGGCCCCUUACCGGGGUUGCGGACAGUGUCUGGUGGGUAGUUUGACUGGGGCGGUCUCCUCCCAAAGCGUAACGGAGGAGCACGAAGGUUAGCUAAUCCUGGUCGGACAUCAGGAGGUUAGUGCAAUGGCAUAAGCUAGCUUGACUGCGAGCGUGACGGCGCGAGCAGGUGCGAAAGCAGGUCAUAGUGAUCCGGUGGUUCUGAAUGGAAGGGCCAUCGCUCAACGGAUAAAAGGUACUCCGGGGAUAACAGGCUGAUACCGCCCAAGAGUUCAUAUCGACGGCGGUGUUUGGCACCUCGAUGUCGGCUCAUCACAUCCUGGGGCUGAAGUAGGUCCCAAGGGUAUGGCUGUUCGCCAUUUAAAGUGGUACGCGAGCUGGGUUUAGAACGUCGUGAGACAGUUCGGUCCCUAUCUGCCGUGGGCGCUGGAGAAUUGAGGGGGGCUGCUCCUAGUACGAGAGGACCGGAGUGGACGCAUCACUGGUGUUCGGGUUGUCAUGCCAAUGGCACUGCCCGGUAGCUAAAUGCGGAAGAGAUAAGUGCUGAAAGCAUCUAAGCACGAAACUUGCCCCGAGAUGAGUUCUCCCUGAGACUUUAAGUCUCCUGAAGGAACGUUAAAGACGAUGACGUUGAUAGGCCGGGUGUGUAAGCGCAGCGAUGCGUUGAGCUAACCGGUACUAAUGAACCGUGAGGCUUAACCUU